GACGAACGCUGGCGGCGUGCUUAACACAUGCAAGUCGAACGGAAAGGCCCUGCUUUUGUGGGGUGCUCGAGUGGCGAACGGGUGAGUAACACGUGAGUAACCUGCCCUUGACUUUGGGAUAACUUCAGGCAACUGGGGCUAAUACCGGAUAGGAGCUCCUGCUGCAUGGUGGGGGUUGGAAAGUUUCGGCGGAUGGGGAUGGACUCGCGGCUUAUCAGCUUGUUGGUGGGGUAGUGGCUUACCAAGGCUUUGACGGGUAGCCGGCCUGAGAGGGUGACCGGCCACAUUGGGACUGAGAGACGGACCAGACGCCUAUGGGAGGCAGCAGUGGGGAGUAUUGCACAGUGGGCGGACGCCUGAUGCAGCAAUGCCGCGUGCGGGAUGACGGCCUUCGUGUUGUAAACCGCUUUCGCCUGUGACGAAGCGUGAGUGACGGUAAUGGGUAAAGAAGCACCGGCUAACUACGUG
rnacentral:rRNA from 1 species